GAUGAGCGCUGGCGGCGUGCCUAAUACAUGCAAGUCGAGCGAACAGACGAGGAGCUUGCUCCUCUGACGUUAGCGGCGGACGGGUGAGUAACACGUGGAUAACCUACCUAUAAGACUGGGAUAACUUCGGGAAACCGGAGCUAAUACCGGAUAAUAUAUUGAACCGCAUGGUUCAAUAGUGAAAGACGGUUUUGCUGUCACUUAUAGAUGGAUCCGCGCCGCAUUAGCUAGUUGGUAAGGUAACGGCUUACCAAGGCGACGAUGCGUAGCCGACCUGAGAGGGUGAUCGGCCACACUGGAACUGAGACACGGUCCAGACUCCUACGGGAGGCAGCAGUAGGGAAUCUUCCGCAAUGGGCGAAAGCCUGACGGAGCAACGCCGCGUGAGUGAUGAAGGUCUUCGGAUCGUAAAACUCUGUUAUUAGGGAAGAGCAAAUGUGUAAGUAACUAUGCACGUCUUGACGGUACCUAAUCAGAAAGCCACGGCUAACUACGUG
rnacentral:rRNA from 1 species